AACUGAUCAAUCUAAUUUGUUAAUAUUUUACUACAUCUAUGCAAGUCCGAUGUCUGUAAAGUAUUACUAACGUCAUUUUAUAACUUCUUUAAAUAAAAGAAAACUUUGUCAAUUUGACUUAAAUUAUAUUUGACACUUUCCAGAAACUAUACAAACGACGGAUUAUGAAUAAUUUAUAUUGUUAUUUGGUUUUUAAAAAAAUCUAUUAAAUAUGGCAGUGUGACAAUACAUGUACCUGCUAUCUAUAAAGGAGGAAUUAACCUGAUUAAAAUUUCUCUUUACUUUGAUCUGAAGCAUUUGAUCAUUAAAUAUGAGAAUCUUUUAAGGGUUCUGUCUCUAAAUAUUCACUGAUUGUUCUCGGAUGAAAUUUGCCUUUUUCAUCUGAUAACUUUCUUUUUUUAAUAAUCAUAAAUCGUUUUUGUUUUUUUACAAUAAAGCUAUUAUUAUUUUU
rnacentral:misc_RNA from 1 species